rnacentral:misc_RNA from 1 species
GAUGAAGAACGUAGCAAAAUGCGAUAAGUAAUGUGAAUUGCAGAAUUCAGUGAAUCAUCGAAUCUUUGAACGCACAUUGCGCCCGCCAGUAUUCUGGCGGGCAUGCCUGUUCGAGCGUCAUUUCAACCCUCAAGCACAGCUUGGUGUUGGGACUCGCGUUAAUUCGCGUUCCCCAAAUUGAUUGGCGGUCACGUCGAGCUUCCAUAGCGUAGUAGUAAAACCCUCGUUACUGGUAAUCGUCGCGGCCACGCCGUUAAACCCCAACUUCUGAAUGUUGACGUCGGAUCAGGUAGGAAUACCCGCUGAACUUAAGCAUAUCAAUAAGCAGAGGA